AGCUACGACCAAACCACAAGUAAAGCACUGGUUCUUGUCUGAUCACCAAAGUUAAGCCUUGUUGGGGGAAGUUAGUACUUAGAUGGGUGACUGCCUAGGAAUACUUCCUGUUGUAGAUU